AUGAGCAAACUUCCAAGUCCAUGCCAUGCCAAAGUUCUCCAUCUUCAUAUAUUCUUCAAUCUUCAUGCCCCUUCAACCGAACAACCAAUAUUUCCAAUUUGCUUUGAGCGAUUAGAUCAAGACACAAAUGGAGUUCUUACAACCAUAUGCAAUCAUUCUUUCCAUUGUUCCUGUAUUUCAAAAUGGGCAGAUUCUUCUUGUCUGGUAUGCCGCUAG